ensembl:lncRNA
CGGAGCGGGGCGGGCGGGUGCGAGGCUUGUUGAGGAACGUGCCCCCGAGGAGCAGUUUGCGCGCUGUGGGAUCCUUGGAGAGGACUGGGACCCUCGGGGAGGUCUCCUGGCUGCCAGCUCUCCGCGCUAGGCACACACCGUCCAGCCGGCUGUGGUGAGACACCGUUGGAACGGGUGACAGAGACAGGGCGCGCGAGCCUAGGGCAGGAGGAAGUAGCGACAAAGGGCAAAGGGAGAGGUCCAACGGCCCAACCCCAGGUGGCCUCGACCUCCCCGGGACUCCGCGCAGAUGUGAAGUAUUGCGGGGGCUCACCCUCAUAUGUGCCCCCCACAAUGUAGGGACUCUUUGGGUCUGCGGCUGCUCGACCCUGCAGCGCCUGGCCCGGGGACAGUAGCUUCUGCGAUCAGUGUCCAAGCAUCCUGCAGCUACUUCCCCGGGGUCACCGGAGGGAAGAACCUGCUCAGAGUCAGAGGAGCAGCCCAGCUCCAGGCAGCUCCGUGCUCAGGACACCUGACACCACCUCCUCCAGGAUGCUCUGUAAGCGCCUCUCCAAGUGUUGGAGUCAGGCGCUUUCUCUGAGGCCGGCCUGGAGGGCUGAGAGCCUGGAGCAUCCCUAGCUGGGCCGUCAAGGUUUCUGAGGGGAGGAACCUGCGUCCUGACGUGCCCGGAUGCUGCGCCCCACAUCGUCCCUUCCUGGCAGAUUAGUCAGAGAACAAAGACGUGCGAGCAGGGGACGAAUUAACAUGAAGAAGGCUUUAUAUAGUUAACCUGGCAAAGAAAGUGAAAGGACCAUGAAGACACUGGUGGAACUUCCCAAGCCAGUGUAUCGGCCUCUGACCAGCCUCAUCUUAACCCAUCUCCUAUGGCAUGUACAAAAGGACCUUGAGGUGUGGGGCCUCUGCUUGCUAUAGGAAGAAAAAGAGGUUAAGUUUGUGUGACGUAACUGGAAUGGGCUGAGCCUCUUCCUAGCGGAGUGAAGUUCACUCGUGGGAGACACUGGCCAUCUGCCACCAUGUCUAGAGGAAACUUUUGCAUCUGGGCCGUUGAGUUCCUGCCUCUUUCACUAGAAGAAAAUGAAUGAACUGGCGAUUUACCACUUGCAUCUGGGCAGGGGACUUAGCACCAUGGGCACCUACAACGAGCACACGCACUGCCUACUAGCAGGUCUGGAUUGGUUCAACUCCUAAGGCACCCACAGGCCACGCUGGGCUCCGGUAUCCUCGGAAUCUUCUGGGAGCUCUGGAAAGGAGGACACAGCACCAAUUGUCAGCAUCACCCCUUCAGGCAUUUCUUCACUAAGGGAGCCAUGCAGCAAACCACACAGCUGUCUGUGAGCUUUCUUCCCCCAGGUGCAGGAUCCACCCUGGCUGAAAAGUCUUAUGUCCCAAGGACACCAGCGUAUGUUGUAAUAAUUCCAUGGAUCCACUUUAAGGACCCUGAUCGAAAUUAACAACUUUCCAAUCUUAAAUUUUCCAUUCCAUCAAAAUGGUACAUAUUUCCUUAUAUUUAGGACUUUCAGAUUUUCUCUCAGAAAACACUUUGCUGUAGGGAUUGACAAUUAACAGCCCAUGGGCCAAGAUUGUGCCGCAGCCUGUUUUUGUAAAGCCAAUGAGCUGAGGAUGGUGUUAACAACUAUUAAAGUUUGUUAAAAAAAAAAAAAAAAGAAAGAAAAGGAAAAAGAAGAAAAAGAAAAAUGGAGAAUAUGCAACAAGACCAUAUGUAACCUGCAAAGUCUGUGUUAUUUAUUAUCUGGCCCUUUACAGAAAAAUUUGCCAACACCUCUUUUGUAGUUGUAGUGGUGUUAGACAACACUUGCUAAUCUAUUCCUAAAUUUCUUCUAUGCUAUCACAAAUGGUACCUUUUAAAUUUUAGUUUUCAAUUAUUCAUUGGUAGAAAAUACAACUGAUUUUUAUAUGUUAACCUUGUAUGCUGGAUUUUGUCAUUUUUGUAGUGAAGUGUUUAAGCACACUUUAUAUAAAGAUAUUUCUAACAAUCUAUUUUCAAGAUUCAUUCAGCAAGUGUUAUUUUAGUGAAUGGAAGUAAUACCCAUUCUGUAGAACUUGUAGUAAUUAUUUCUAGUAUUUUCUUUGUAGAUUCCUUAGGAUUUUCUAAACACACAAUCAUGUUUUCAACGAAUAAAGAUAGUUUUACUUCCUUUUUAUUCUGUGGCCUUUUAUUUAUUUUUUAUACCUUUAUAGUUGCUAUAAUUACAGUAAAAUGUUGAGAAAAGGUAGAGCUAAUAGGCAUCUUUUUCCCACUCCUGAUCUUAAGGGAAAAGUGUUCAGCAAGCGAUUAAAUGAAGGUUUGUUGCACUUUAUCACUUGAAGGAAGUUUCCUCUAAUUACUAUUUUGCUGAAAGGGAUUUUCUAUUUCCUCUAAUUACUAUUUUUUGAAAGGGAUGUUCAAUUUUGUCAAUUACUUUGCCCACAGUUUUAAGAUAAUCACAUGGCUUUUCUCCUUUAUUUUCUAAAUGUGAUGAAUUACUUUGACUGCUUUCUGAGUGUUAAACCAAACUUGCAUGCUUGGCACAAAUCCCAUUGGUACUCCUAGAUCAUCAUUUUAUAUUUGGUUGGAUUAGAUUUCCUAAAAUGUAGUUAAAGAUUUUUUAUCUCUGUGUUCAUGAGGGAUAUUGAACUGUGAAUUUCUUUGUCAUUAGGUUUGGUAUUAGGAUAAUACUGGCCUAGAAGAAUGAGUUAGGAAAAAUUUCCUCCAUCUCUACUCUCUGAAAGAUUUUAUAUAACACUAGUAAAAUAUUGUCCUUACAAGUCUGAUAGAAUUCACCAGGAAAACCAUCUGGAUCUUUAGUUUUCAUCAUGGAAAGGAGUUUAGAGUCACUUGGCCACUUGUUGUCCUUUUAAUAUCUGUCAGAUCUGUAGUGAUGCACCCCUCUUUAUUCCUGAUGUUGGCCAUUUGAUUUUUUCCUUUCUAUUUCUUGAUAUAACUUGCUAGAGGUUUAUCAGUUUUAUUAAUCUUUUAAAAAUCCACAUUUAGCUUUGUUAAUUUUCUCUAAUACACAUUUUCUAUUUCUACUCUUCUACUAUUUCUUUAUCUCUCCUGACUUUGGUUUUAAUUUACUCUCCUAUUUCUCUAAUCUUAGGAUGGAAAACUAAAUCUUUGUUUUAAAAUCUUAUCUUUUGAUACAAGCACUUAACUCUGUAACAUUCUCUUAAGUACUGCUUGAGCUACAUCUCAAAAAUUUUGAUUUGCUGUGUUUUAGUUAUCAUUAAAUUCAAAAUGUUUUCUAAUUUUCCCAAUUUCUUCUUUGACCCAUUGGUUAAAUAGAAGUUUGUUUUAUUUACGCAUAUUUGAAUAUUUUCUAGAUAUCUUACUGGUUUUGAUUUCUACUUUAAUUCUAUUGCUGUCAGGUAAAAAUACUCUGCAUGAUUUCUCUCUCUUAAAAUUUGCCAAGACAUUUUUUUUUUUUUGCCCAGUAUAUGCUUAUCUUCAUGAACAUUCCACGUACAGUUGAAAAAGAAUAUGUAUUCAGUUAUUUUUGUGUACAAUAUUUUAUAAUAUUUGCUAUUUUAUUUAUUUUAUAAUUGCCAAUUAAAUGAAGAUAAAUCUUCUAUGCUCUUACUUGUUUUUGUCUACCUGUUCUAAUAAAUAUUGUGAGAGGGUUGUUAAAAUCUCAAACUAUUAUUGUAAUCUGUCUACUUUAGUUUGGACAGUUUUUGCCUUAUAUAUUUUGAAAUUCUGAUAUUAAGUGCAUAAACAUUUAAGAUAUUUUUAUCUUCCUAGUGAAUUGACCCUUUUGUCAUUAGAACACGUCCCUCUGUAUAGCCAGUAACAAUCCUUGUCUUGAAAUCUGAUUUGACUGAUGUUAAUUUAGCCCCAUCGUAUCUGUUAUUCUUAGAAUGACCAGCAUCCCAGGUUGCCAGGAAAUGUCCCGCUUUCAGCCCUGUAGUCCCACAUCCUGGAAAAACUCCCAAUUCCUGGCAAAAUGGGAACGUUAGUCACCGUUGUUAUCCUAGUGUUCGCAUGGUAUAUCUUGUUACAUCAUUUUGUUUUCAACCUCAUAUAAAACAAAUAUAGUUGGGUCUUGCUUUUGCUCAUCCAGUUAAGGAAACUCUGCCUUUUAAAUGGCGUGGUUGGUCCAAUUAUAUUUAAUGUGAUUACUUAUUUGGUUGCAUUCAAAUCUGCUAUCUAUGUAGUGUAGAAUAAUUCCAGGUGCUUCACAUCCUUGCUGACAUUUGCAAUGGCAGAUUUUUUCAAAUUUAUUCUGGUGACGUGUAGUGGUAUCUCACUGUGGUUUUUUUAUUUCCCUCGUUACUAACAAUGCUGAGCACUUUUCGUGUACUUAUUGGACAUUAGUGAAUAUUUUUUGGUAAGGGAUUGAUAACAUUUACUUUCUAGGGUUGCUUUAAGAGAUUUUGAACAUUGCAUAAAGCAUAAUGUUAGUACACAAUAAAUGCCAAG